CUCCUGCUCAGGCAUGGGGGCCAAAGGGAAGGGCUCAGCCGCAGCCUUGAGGCACCCACUUAGCUGGCCACUGCGACCCACAGCCCUGGGGCACCUGGUGACCUGGGUACUGUGACCCACAGCCCCUGGGGCAGCUCAGGCCUAUACCACAGACAGUGGGCCCAGCUGGGGCACUUCUCCCUUCCAGGCCUGCUCCAUGCACCCUGUCCCCUAAGGGUCAUCUCCUCUGCAUGCCCCUGAUGCUGUGGGUCAGUUUCACUGUUGUCCUCAAUAGAUGCAGAGCCCCUAGCUGGUAGGGCCUGCCCCGGCCCUUGUCCUGGGUGGGUCUGUGUCCUGAUGAGAGAGGGUCCCCUUGUCUCUGGUUCCUGAGCUGCAUCCAGAAGCAAGCAGGCGCCCCUAGCACGUCACUUAACACUUGCAGCCCCCACCCUCACUGGCUGGUAAAGUGUGGACACACUGACUUCACCCUGGGAGCUUGGGCUGCCCUCAUGGGCCAGGGUGUUUAUUCACAGAGCAACAGAGUCAGCACAGGGCAGGGAACGCCCAGGCCUCAGCAUAUCCUGAGACCUGCAGCCUGUCCCAGCCUGGGCGGGGCAGGUGUCCGGUCCCUGGCUAGGGUCUGACCAAGUGCUGGAUGUCACGUGAGGAAGCGGGGCCUUGUCUGGGGUGGUCUACGGAUCACUGGUGACAGAUGCCGGGAG
rnacentral:lncRNA from 1 species